rnacentral:lncRNA from 1 species
AAAAUCCAACAAAUAGAAUUUUUAAAGCCUGUUCAAAAGAUUUAUAUUUUUCAUAGGGGGUGCUCAAAGGAUUUAAAGGAGAACUAAUUCAUGUAUUUAACAAACAUGAUGGUGCCUUGAGGAAUACAGAAUAUUUCAAUCAACUAAAAGACAAUAGUAACAUAAUUCUUCUGGGAGACUCCCAAGGAGACUUAAGAAUGGCAGAUGGAGUGGCCAAUGUUGAGCACAUUCUGAAAAUUGGAUAUCUAAAUGAUAGAGUGGAUGAGCUUUUAGAAAAGUACAUGGACUCUUAUGAUAUUGUUUUAGUACAAGAUGAAUCAUUAGAAGUAGCCAACUCUAUUUUACAGAAGAUUCUAUAAACAAGCAUUC